rnacentral:lncRNA from 1 species
CCGGAAGCUUCUGGAGGAUGCAGCUGCUUGUCUACCUCCUUAAGCAGCUAGACAUGUCUUACUCCUUUACUGGAGAAUCCUCCAAGCAGCUCUUGCUUAUGUCCUAUUGGUUGAAUUGGUGGCUGGCCACAAAACUUGUUUUAAUUGGACAGAUUUGUGGCUGCACACCAAUCUCUCUCCAAUUGGUUGCAUGGGGCACCCAGGACAGCUCCUGCUUGUAACCCACGACCUAUACCUUCUCCUGAGCUCAUUCUCCAGCCUAUAAAUAGCAGACCACCCCCUUAGUCAUUUCUCAUGCUUAGAACCCUAACCAUAGCAGCUCGAAAAAGUCGAAACCCUAAGGUAAAAUGUUUUUGUCUUUAGCUUUCUUUUUAUUUAGAUUUUGUUUUUUAUUUUUUUUUAUUUUCUUAGUUAGAACUUGGAUAGCCUUUCUUAACUUACCCCUUCCUGUAUUUAUAUUUCUAAAGCUCUAGAGUUUUCCGAUAAAAGUUUAAAGUGAAGCCGACCGCAAGAUAGAAGCGUUUCCAGUCCAAAACUUUCAUCUAAGUGUUGAGGUGAGUCUCGGUUAUGGGUUAUGAUUGUUGUGUGUGCGACUAGCGCCUGCAAAACAAGAGUAACGGUUGAUGCAUUGCUAGGUUGCGCGUUUAGAUAUAUAAUGAUAUGAUAAUGAUUGAUGUUUGUGAAAGAUAUUGAGUUAUAUCAUCGGGCUUCGGCUCGAGGGGUAUAACAUGAUUGUGAUACAUUGAUGUUGUGUUGCAUAUACUUAUGUCAUUGCAUUAUAUUUUUUGGGCCUCGGCUCAGAUAAUAUAACAUGUUUGAUCAUAUCUUAACGGGGAAAUCCGUAAAUCCACGGACUUGAUCCGUGAGAGUCCGACACUCGGGUGGAGUGUCGUGAGAGUCAUUGGUGUCCACUCGAGGCCCGUGCCUUGUCCAGGGCCUUACCAAAAUUAGUUCCGGGCAGGACGCGAAGACACGUGUGAUAGGGCUAGCUACCCUCGACCGUGUAGCUGCAUGACGAUGCGGCAAGUGUGUUAUCUGGGCCAUCGGCUUUUUAGACUUUGUGUUUAGAGUCAAUGGGCGCAAGAAGGGAUGUGUUAUGGACUUCGUAUCGAAAUAGGAACCAAUGGCGAGAGGCAGUCCUCGAUGAUCAAUAAUGAUCUAACCACUCGUGAAGAGUGGAUGCUUUUUUACAUGAUUGCUUUAUUUUUGCAUUGCAUAUUUCUUAAUAUAAUUGAUCCUUGUUGCUAAAUGUUUGAUGCAUAAUGGGGGGAUAAAUAAUUGUUAGGAAACCCGACUCACUGAGCAAAAUAGUUGCUCAUUAGACUCUUUGUUUUGCAGGUAACCCGUAGUAGUAGGUUCCAUUUGGGAUCGGAGGAGCACAAAGCUGUUGGUGUAGAUUUGCUACCUUUUGCAAGCAUGUACGUUUUGUAAUAUGUAAGAUAUGGUUUUGAACAUCGGCCGAGCAUGUAUAAAUUUUUGAUGUGGUUGAACCUUAAGUAUAUAUAAAAAAAAAAGGGUUUGUGAAAUGCUUGGAUUCCAUAUGAUACUAGUCCUAGUCUGGGACGAACUAACUAACGGUUUCAAACUCGGGUUGCAAAGCCUUAACUUGGAAUCGCUAGGAAACCCGUUCUUAGACAUAUGAUCUUAGGAUUUCAGAUCUGAUCUAGGAACCUCGGAUCAAAUGUUCGGGCACGUGGUAGUAGUAUCUUCGAUCUGGUUAGAGGUCUUUAGUUCGUCGUGCAUGUUCUUGUUUGACUGGUGCAUGGCAAACUAAUUAACUUUUAUUUAUUCCGGAUCGGGGGUGUUACAACGAAGGUGGUAUCAGAGCAUGGUUCACUUUGCUCACUUGGGAACCUGUUUUCAAUAAUUUAUCGAGUCAAAGGUGUCGCAAAAGGUAGAAUAGGAAACCAACAUGCUCCUUUGUUAGAUAAGUUUUGAUUAGUACUUACCCAGGGUUGUACUGCAGUAUGUUUCCAAGACGUACAAGGAGUGAGGAGCCAAUGAUGACACCACCAAAAUAUGGACAACGUAAUUCUGAAAACCGCAGAGUCUAUUCAAACCUUGAGGUAACAGAUGAUUCUGCGAUAGCACAAGGAAAUAACCAUUGCUAUGAACACGAACAUGAGUCGACUGGGAGAAAUCCGACGGAUUCACAUAUGGGCUAUGAGCAAGAAGAACGAUAUGAGGAUCUGAGGGAGAGGAAUCAAGCACCUGAUAUGUAUGGAUCAAGGCGGAAUUAUGCAACAACACAUAAUCCAAGGCAGAAUGAAUCUGAGUUCAUGCACUGGGAAAGGACGCCCGAGCCACGUUGUAGGCAAGAACAGAGGACAGCUGGGAGUUCUAAUCCUCUUAUAGUAUUAGUACAAGGCUUGCUAGAUAGACUUGAUCAUAGAACCGGUGAAUCAUCAGAGCGAAGACCAUCCUCCCCUCCUGAUUACCUGAAGAUGGUCACGUUAAUGAAGAAAUUUGGAACCGUUAGAUAUACUGGAGGAACAGAUCCCUUCGAAGCGUCAACAUGGCUGAGGAAUUUGGAGAAAAACUUUCGGGCCAUCCACUGCCCUGAUAAUUUCAAGAAGGAUGUGGCAAUAUACUACUUGACCAAAGAUGCUUCUGAUUGGUGGGAUAACGUGGAAGAAUACUAUAUGGGAAGAGAGAUCGACUGGGAAGAUUUUAAAACGGAAUUUGAACGGAAAUACUUCCCACCUAAAGCAAAAGACCGGCUGGAGAUUCAAUUUUUGGAGUUAACUCAAGGCAACCGGAAAGUCAGGGAGUAUGAGGCAGAGUUUACAAAGCUAAGGAAAUAUUCUCCUUAUGGAGCAAGGAAUGAAGGUGCACUAAUUCGAAGGUUUAUAAGAGGAUUGCGAGCGGAUUUGGCUAGCCGACUGCAAGUAGUGAAGUUUCAUAGCCUUUAUGAAUUGGCGGAGAUAGCGGUAAAUGUUGAAGAAGGUAUGGAAAAGGAGCAAGCCAUGAUGAAGCAUCCAGAGCCAUCUCGCAGAACUGAAGGGCUAGGAGUACGAAGAAUGAAUAAUGUGGGAACCGAAAUUCACACUGUCGAUUUCCAUUUAAAUAAGGAAACUAGGAAAACCCUAAUUUUCCAGAGGACCCGGAUAUCUGCUAAUUACCACACGUCAAGCAAUCAGAACACGAGAAUAACAACGAUAAAGUAUAAAAAAUCGAAAAGAGAGCAAAGUAGAUCUUAUUCCGAAUCUGCGUAUGAGCGUUUACAACAAGGUAUAGGCCUGGGCUCGAGAGCUGUCGGCGAGAUUCCUAGUUCUAGCAACCCUAAGACGGCUAAACCUAAUUGAGUCGCAGCUCGAAAUAACAAAAACGGAAAAUUGCCUAAAUUGCUCUAAGUGCUAAGUUUGCUCUGAAAAAGUUCUCCCUUCUGCUCCUCGCCUAGGACUCCUUAUAUACUAGCUCUAAGGUCGGUUUACGCUUUUACUCUUCUGCCCUUAAGCCGUCAUAGCAUAAAAAUGGAGAUAUUCCAUUUUUCCCGAUCUUCCCAAUUAUCUUCAAAACUUCCGUAUUUAUCCGCGGAAACUUGACAUUUAUCCUUCCUUGUGGGCCAAGCGUAAACUAUGCUGUGGUUUACGGGCUUUUGGCUAGGAAAAAUCGUAGGAUGGGCCUCGAAUCGUGUUUUAGGUCCCUUUGGGCCGUCUUCCGACUCGAUAUGUUUACUACGAGUUUUCCGCGGUUUCCAAUCCGCGAAGUUUGAUCGAUGAAUUAGAAUAGCGGGAAACAUGGAUUGAGCUUGCUACGGUCUUCGGGAGAUAGCAUUUGAAGGUUUGACGAGAAUGCAAGAAUUGGUGUUGUAUCGAUGUUCGGAAAGGUUCAAUCGCUACACAGCGACCGAACUAUGGCUCGAGCCCGGUCGCUUCGUAGCGACCGAGCGGGACGAGCGCUCGGUCGCUACGUAGCGACCGAGCUUUGGCUUGAGCUCGGUCGCUACGUAGCGACCGAGCGGGACGAUCGCUCGGUCGCUACGUAGCGACCGAGCGGGACGAUCGCUCGGUCGCUACGUAGCGACCGAGCGGGACGAGCGCUCGGUCGCUACGUAGCGACCGAGCUUUGGCUCGAGCUCGGUCGCUACGUAGCGACCGAGCUUUGGCUCGAGCUCGGUCGCUACGUAGCGACCGAGCGGGUCUUUGGCUCGAGCUCGGUCGCUACGUAGCGACCGAGCGGGACGAUCGCUCGGUCGCUACGUAGUGACCUGUUUCGAGCUUUCGUCGGACAUCUCGAUUCUUUCUUCCGCAAAGCUUUUUCGUAAGGAAGAAUCUAUUUCGAAAAGUAGUCUUCGGAGAAAUUCUUAUUUUCUUCCUCGGACGUUUUGAAUGUUAAAUUUGUCGUAACCGUUUUUGACCCCAACAGUUAGCCCCCCAGCCCGUUAGAGUUGUGACUCUAGCGGGCGGAUAGAUGACUUUGACAAGGUUAAGUGUAUUGGACGAAAUUUACAUUUAAAAUUCCGCGGAAAAAAGUUGUCGAGACGACAUUCCGAACUCAUACUUCUAUAAGUAGUGAGCUCUUGUCAUUCAUUUUCUUCACACCUUCCCUUCUUCAUUCCUUCAAAAACCUCUCUAGUUUCAUAACUUUCCUUUCAAUAUGUCUUCCUCCCAAGGUGAUAAGAAGGAUUCCGACGUCGAGAUGGGUGAGGCCACUUCUCCGGCUCCUGUUCCAACUUCUCCGGCGGAAGCGCCGGCUUGUAUUGCCGGUCAUCUUUCUUUCCGAGAGAAACUAGUUCGUCGCCAAGCCGAGAAAGAACUAGCUCAAGCUGGCUCCGAGUUUCCGUCUUCUUCCGCGCAGGUCGUUGCCCCGUGUCAUGGGACCGAAGUCAUGGCUCCUCUCCCGCCAGCCCUACCUGCGGGAUCUUCCACGACUCUGAUCCUCGUUGAGGACAAGGAGAAGGCCGCUGACUCUAUGCUUCCUCCUCCAGCCAGAAAAGAAAUCGUUCUGGCAUUGCGUGCUCCUAGCGCUGUCCUGGCUACUCAGCCUAAGAGUCGGAAGAGGAAACUUGCAAGAGUGGUGAAGGGGAGAAUUCGCAGCGAGGUGGAUCAAGCCUAGCAUCGGGACUUCGCGGAAAGGUUUGUCUUUUGAAUUCUCGACCGUCUUUUGUACAUUCUUUUCUCGGACUUAGUCUUAAGAAUUUUCACCGUUCGCAGUUUAUAUCGUUGAUCGAUGGGAUGAUCAGCGACUGUGGUUCUGAGACCAGUCGCCUUUCCGGGGAGUUGGUGGAGCUUCAGGGCAGAUGGUCCGAAACCGAGGCCAUGUUGACGGCUGUCAAGGACUCUCACUCUGCGAAAGUGUCGAAGCUCGAGGUUGCGAUAGGAGAGCUUGAGAGGGACCUUGGGAAGACGGCAAGUUCCUUGCUUAAGGAAAAGAAGGCUAGGAAGGCCAAAUCCUCGGAGGUGCGUCGACUCCAGCGUCAGAUCGAGAGUGACGCGGGACUAGCGCGCCGCGGGAUCCAAGAGGCUACGGAUGCCCUUCGCGCGGAGUUUCAAGCUCGCUUGGCGAAGAUUUCUGCUUCCCUGGGUUCUCUCGAGUGUAUCCGGAGCAGGGAUCUAGCUUUGGCGACGAUUGAGGGCGGGAUGGCCGUGGUUCGGUCGUUCCAAAGUGAGACUCCCCCGACCUUGGAGGCCGAAGAGGCCCGACUGUCCGGCUGCAAGGGAGAUAUGGCGGCAGAGGAUGGAGAUUUCGGUCUCAUCCUGGCCGACCAGAAAUCCGCGUGCUUCCUUCCGACGUGUUCAGAAGACCCAGAGGGGAAAGACCCGAUGGUCGGAGAAAACGGAGGUGGCACGGCUCCAGGCUCGGACGAGGCAGCGGGUGAAGAGGGGGCGUAAGUUCUGAGGAUGACUUGGGUUAGAUCUCUUGCGAGAGAUUUUUUUUUGUUUUUAUGUUUGGCCUUGAAUGGCCUUGUUUGUAUUUCGGGACUGGCCGUGUGUGGCUUUGAAUCCCUGCCGCUCCGCGGCUUCCUUUUUAUGGUACGAUAAUCGGAUAACGCUUUUUAUGGAUUUGUGAAUAGUGGGGAGGAAGGUGAUGAGUUGUCGUCUCAUAUCCUUCUUCGAUUGUGAAAUGUUUUAUUCGAGAUCUGUUUCGAGAGUUCUUCCGCGAGAUGUGAACUCUGCGGGGGUGCUGAAGGUGUCGAACAUAAACAUAGAGGCGUGGUUUAAGAAUCUCCUAUCUUUCGAUAUCAUGCCUUUGAGAUGUUAGAGACCAGUGCGCUGGGUUUAGGGCAAGACCUAGGUUUACUUUCGGUUUAAGGAUUGUGCGGUGACUAACCGGCUAUCGUUUUUCCUGUCACGAUUUCUUCCUGAUUCGUAUCGAUGUAAAGUCCGCGAAAAUUUCUCGGCUUAUACGACUUGUUUGAUACGAAUUGAGCAUCUCUCCGAAGACCGAAAGUGCUAGACCAAAAUUUCGGAUUUCUUUUAUAGCGCUAUUAUCCUUGUGUCGGAUGUAAGAGAGCCAUCUUCGUGAGAUGACUAUGUCUGUUUAGGACGUUUGUGAGUUCGAUGUGAUCAGCAUCGGACUUGGUGGCGCGUGCCGUUGUUUUGAUUGUUUUGGGCAAAAUAAGUGUUAGUGUGUGCAUAUAUGAGCUUUGGCUCGAGCUCGGUCGAUACGUAGCGACCGAGCGGGACGAUCGCUCGGUCGCUACGUAGCGACCUGUUUCGAGCUUUCGUCGGACAUCUCGAUUCUUUCUUCCGCAAAGCUUUUUCGUAAGGAAGAAUCUAUUUCGAAAAGUACUCUUCCGAAAAAUUCUUAUUUUCUUCCUCGGACGUUUUGAAUGUUAAAUUUGUCGUAACCGUUUUUGACCCCAACAAAUAAUAAAGGACAAUUAAAUCGAGGGAGAGGCCGAAGAAGAAGGAAUGACAGACGGUUUACGAAUGGCCCAGAUGUGUGUUACACUUGUGGUGGUACAGGAUAUUUUUCUAGCAGUUGUCCUUAUAGUCAUGGAAGAAAAGCCUCUGAUUAUAUUACUUGCUUCUCGUAUGGUGAGAAAGGGCAUUAUGCCAACAGUUGUCCCCAUACGAGGCAAGUUACGCUUCCAGCACCACCCACUAGACUAGCGAUUGAACCAGCCCCGAAGCGCCAGGCAGUUGGAAAGCAAGUGAAUGCUUUAGAGUUAGGAAAAUCCGAACCACAACAGCCCCUUCAGGGACCAAUCACAGGUAAGUAGUGUUGUAACUCAUUGCUUGUUUGUGUGAAUUUGAUGCAUGAAAUAUAAAAUGUGAAAUAAAUAUUGUUUAGGAACAUUGUGUGUUGGUGGAGUUUAUGUGCAUGUUCUCUUCGACUCGGGCGCCACACAUAGUUUUGUGAUACCCGAGGUAGUGUCGAGUUUUAAGGGAACCUUUACUAGAGUAAAGGUAGGUGUUUCAGUUAGAACCCCUGGGAACCAUAACCUUCGUGCCGAUAGUUGUGUACUUGGGAUUCCAAUCUAUGUGGAUCAACGGUAUAUCCGGCAGACCUGCUAGUUGUUCCUUUAGGACAACACGAAGUUAUUUUGGGCAUGGACUGGCUGUCGAGAUACUACGCACAGUUGGAUUAUGGUCGAGGAAGAAUUACACUUGAAGAAAGCGGACAACCAUCAACGACAUACUAUGGAAUAUGUCCAAGUGCUGGAGUGUCACUUGUAUCUGCCUUAAGAGUUGAGAAAGAUUUGAUCGAGGACGAGGUAUAUCUUGUAACUCUAACUACCCUUGGAGGAGAAUUGAAUGAAAGGACAAAGUUGGAAGAGAUAACAGUAGUAAAAGAAUACCAGGAUGUAUUCCAGCCAUUGGAAGGAUUGCCUCCACCACGAAGUGAUCCUUUCACCAUUACAUUAGAGCCGGGAGCAGCCCCAAUAGCUAAGGCACCUUAUCGAAUGGCUCCAGCUGAGCUUGCUGAAUUAAAGAAGCAGUUGGAAGAUUUGAUAGAAAAAAGGAUUUAUCAGACCGAGUUCUUCACCAUGGGGAGCACCAGUCUUAUUUGUAAAGAAGAAAGACGGUACCAUGCGGUUAUUGAUACCACUCAAAUUACCCUAAGGAGUUUUACUCUCAUCAAAAGAGGUUCAGAUGUAGUACUUAGGGAUCAAAUCCACAAGGAACUAGGGAACAAUUAAAUCUAAUGUUUAUUAAUUCUAAAGGUUGCAAAUGUGUAAAUGAAAUAGCAAUAGUAACAAGCGAGUAAAUAAUAAAUGUAACUUGGUUGAAAAUGAUAUUAGAUGCAGGGCCACUAUUCAGGUAUUGGAGAUUAUAAUACCUAUAGAUGCCUAACUGUUGCAUGCAUUAUAUAUUAGAGCUCAUUCGCUUAACUCAGUGAUCAGCUGUCGCAUGUACCACUGGUUAACAGACUAGAUCUCGUGUCUCAACGGUUAGUAUGUCGACGACGAGAGAGUGUCGAUCGAUGGUCUAUUAAGACGUCAGCCGAUACACCUUUGCCAACGUCGAUCGAUUGUCAGUUGAGGACAUCGAUCGACGGGUUCUAGCCAGGCCUAUGCGCUAGUUUGAAAUGCCCUACUAAGAUACUAAAUUAGCGGUUAGCCCUCUCUUGCAGUCCUAGUGUGAUAGAUAAAUGUCAGGAUGGGAUAAUAAGGGUGCUUGAGUAUGCAAUCCUAUGAUCAAGUUCUUGUUAGAAAGGCUAAAACAAGCAAUGAAUACAAAUCUAUCAUGAAUAUCACAACAAGGCAGAUCUAUAGUUUGGGGCUAAUCCCACAAACCUAUCUGAACCUUGGAUCUAAUAAUUGAACUACUCAGACAUAGCAAAGCAAUUCAUAACAAUAAAGGAAUAGAAACUCAUAGCAUAGAUGAAAAGAAAUGAAAACAAGGAGUUCCAAUCACAAGUGAUCUUCUCUCCCAAAUGAAACUUGUAACAAAACUAGGUCUAGAAAAAGCUCUCUGCCGUCAAAAUACUUAGGCAGUAUAUAUUCUACUAGGUUAAAAACUCGUCAGGGUAUUUUGGUAAUUUGGCUUGGCCUUGGUUUUUAUGUCAGCUGAAUCCAAAAUGUCGCGUGUCUGGUGUCUCGACAUCGAUCGAUGGUACUUGUGUACAUCGAUCGAUAUUAAUCUUCAUCUGUCGAGGCAUCUCCUGAUAUCGAUCGUCAGCACUAAUGCGCAUCGAUCGAUUGUUCUUCCUCUCGUCGACCUCUACGUGGUCAGCUCGGAUGAAAUGUUCUUUAAGCUCCAAAAUGCUCCAAAGUCAUAGCUUUACUCCGAAAUACACCUGAACCUGAAAACAUACCUAGAAGAGUAGAAAACAUAGAUAUAUAUAUAAUAAAAUACUUAUGUACAAUGGAUAAAAGUGGGUCAAAUCCAAGGUAUAUCAACUCCCCCAGACUUACCCUUUUGCUUGUCCUCAAGCAAAACAUACAGGCAGUCUCUCUGAAAGAGGUUUGAAAAUAUUAGGGACUUAAGAUUUUAAAGCAUAGAAAUCUUUCCUCAACAAUUUUGCAACCACAUUUAAAAAGUCCUAAUCACAAAAGCACACUAUGCAAUAUCCUAGCUUAGCAACCAUUUCUAACAUAACACAACUCAUCAAUUCACGUCUGACAUCCCCUCUACUGAUUUUAUUUCUUAGCAUAAAUAUAAAGUGAAUGCUUUACCUUGGGAGUAUCGAUCACAGGAUGCAAGGAUUUCAGACAGGUAUCUGGAGCUGCAGGUAAAAGUUAGUUCCUAGUUUCUCUCUCUCUAAAUUUCUCUCUUGAGUCAAAGUCUGCUUCCACAGCAGGAUCAGUGACCAAGAUUGGACAGGCUUCCAUGAAUCAAAACUUAAUGGUGGUUGCCACCAAGUUCUGUUCACUUCUUUUUGACCUAUAUCCAGGAGUUCUUUGCGAAAGCGAGCCUUGAAGAUUGCCGCCUCCAAGUCCCGUUUCAAACUCUUUUAUUUGAGUCUUUAUGAAUCAAGCCUUAAUGGUUUUAGCCACCAAGUCCUGUUCAGACUCAUCCUAAUUAAACAAUAGAUCUUAUUUAUUUUUUUAUUAUUAUUAUAUAUAUAUAUAUUUUUUUUUUUUAAUAUUCACUAACUAAUCUAGGGUCGAAAUUUAGAGAGAGAAAAUGUGAUAAAUAUUCUAAACUAGGCGUUACCUUCCAGACCUGUCUGAAGAAUCCGAUCCCAUGUAUACCAAGUCCCAAGACAAGCGGUUAUGUCAGGUUUGGUGUUGGAAAUCAUCUUUGGUUACUUCAUACGGUUCAAGACAAGUGUGUAGUUGAUAGGUUGAUCCGCUUUAGCAUCUUUAGUGCUAUCUGCAAUCAGUAAAUCUAAAAUGGUGGUAAAGAUUGGUUAGAUAUUCAAGUUUAAAUCAAUAUAAGAUUAUUGUCCUUAUUUUCAAUAGCUAAGCAUAAUUUAUUAAAAUUCCUUUUUAUAUAAGAAUAAAAUAAAUUAUAUCAGUAAAUCUCCCCCCAGACUUAAAUUACAUUGUCCCAGUGUAACUCAACCGGAGUUAUGAUAAAUAGUUUACGAUGUAAGAAAUGUAACAAGUAAGGAAGAUACAUCUGACCGGAUUAGAUAUUGAUCGAUGUGUAAGUGUUACAUCGAUCGUCGUGUGGUUGUCUAUGUCGACGUCUCAUCGUCGGUCGAUAUUCAGGUCCUCUUACUUGGGUCUCCUAAAUCUGAAAGAAAUAAAACGAAAGUAAAUAAAUGCUAGCUAAUAAAACCUAAAUAAAAUACCUAAUAGUGGGUUGCCUCCCACUCAGCGCUUGGUUAUAGUCAUUUAGCUUGAAUGUGGUAGUGAUUGGCUAUUGGGUGGAGAAACAGCUGCUUGUUGGAAAGUAAGCACCCACAUCAUCUCUGCACAUUCUGGACCAAGAUGCAAUGAAACUUCUUGUGGCCUCAUCAUUUCUUGUCCAUUUGUCAUCCAUCUUCUCAAGUACAUUGGAGAUGUUCUGUAGCCUUUCUUGAAUGUUGUCAAUGCUGACCUGGUGCCAGCCUAUGGUGUCAUAGGCGUAUGCUGAAAGAUCUGUCAGUUCCUUUUGCAUUGACUCUACUGUCUUGUGUAUCAGCUGCUCGCCGAUUGGUGUAGACUCGGCGUCGAUCGAUGCGAUUAUGUGUUCGUUGGUCGAUCUCGGCGAGUUGCCAUCGAUCGAUUUUGCUUGUGUUCUGUCGAUCGAUGCUGAUAUCUGGUGUUAAGCUGCGAGUUGCCUCUGAAUGGCUUUGACUUCUUUCUGUAGCCAUUCUGCGUGGCUGUCUAGUCCACUGAUUUUGUUGUCGAAUGGAAAGUAGAUGUCAUCGCAGCGUUUGUCAAGUCGUUCCUCCAUGGUGUCUAGAGCAGUGUAGAUCUUGGAUGUGAUCUUUUCAACCUCUGCUGCUGUGUAAGGAAGUAACUCCACAGGUUUCUUGCCAUCGAUCCAAUGCCCUCGUAGCCUGUCGAUCGAUGCUGAUUUUGCCUGCAAAAAAUUCUGAUUAGUAAUGUUCUCGAUAUCUUUUUGGGCAUGAAGUAAUUGACUAGACAAUUUGUUUAAAUAUGUCAUGACUGGUGAUAUAAAGCGGUCAUGCAUAUCCUCGUAAGUCCUCAGCCUCUCAUUCAUGGCUGAGACUUUAGCGUCGAGCGAUGUGAAGGUACACAUGUCGAUCGAUGUGGCUGGUUGUUGGUCCUUCUUGCGAAUGGUGUCCAGAUCUUGCUGUAGUAGCUCGAUUUUAGUGCUUAGCCAGUCCACGUUGUUGUUGAGAGGGCUGUAAACGUCGUUUAUCCUCGUGUCGAUGUAUGAGACUUCCCAUUCAUCCCUGUGUUGUGUUGAACAUUGCGGUUCUGCAGGGAUCUGAGCUGUAGGAAGACUGACGUCGAUCGAUGUUGCAUGUCGUGCGUCGAUCGAUGUCGAGGUCGUAGCUUCCUUCUCAAGUUGCUGACGUGAACUCUCAAUUUCUGUCCUCAUUUCUGCCAUACUUCUGAAAAUCUCAUUGUAGCCUCUAUCCAAAGGCUGAUGUGUAACUUCUACUAAUGUUUUGAGCUCAUCUCCCAGUUUCUCCUGAGCUCCACAAAUACCAAAUACCAUCUCAUCGAUUUCAUCUUUGGUGUAGAGUUCUGGUGCUAGUCUUGUGAGUGUGAAGGAAGUGGCAUGUUCUGGAAGACAGAUGUGGCUCUCUUUUAAAAAGUGAUGCUCUUUACAGUAAUUUCCUGAUGACGUCCUUUGUGACAGGUAUCAUCUCACCAGCUAAGCCUCGUGCGUGGCCACACUCAUCUCUGUAGACUCCAUACUCGUCCCUUUGUUCCCAAGUGAACUUUCUGGCUGCGUACAUGUCAAAAGCGCGGUUCCCAAAUUCAUACCGUCUGUCGGUCGACGUCGGGUCAUCUCUAUCGAUCGAGGUUGGUGUUACCCUGUCGAUCGAUGUCUCGGUUGUUCCGUCGAUCGAUUCUUACCCUUUUGGUUGGCGUGAUAAAUCUGGAUUGAUCUCUGUUGUGGCGACUCCUACGUGGUUUUUAGGAUCUGUUUUAAUGACGUCCGGAGUGCCACGUUGCUGUGAGAAUAGGUUGUCAGGUCCAUUGGCUACUUGAAGGAUGUCUGAUAUGUCCUCUCUGGACACUUGUAAGAUCCUUCCAUCUAUUGCACGUGCGUUGCCAUCUGGGUCCCUGAAAAUACCAAAUUCAUCAGGUGUUAGAAAACCGUAAUCAAUGUUUGCAUAAUCAUUCAGUUUAGAAAUAGAAAGAUUAUGGUUUAGAGUAGUAUCGAUCGAUGUAGAUACAGUUGCAUCGAUCGAUGGCAGAGUAAUUUCUGCAGAACUUGUGUUCUUGAGAUGAUUGAUCUUCAUGGAUUUUUCUGUUGAUGUAGAUGGAAGAGUGUUCAUCUUUUUUGCUUGUGUGUCUGCUCUGAUGUGUGUAGGUGGUUUCGGGGGUGCAAAACGAUUUAUAUAGGUAUCUUUAAACCUAGUUGGGGAGAGAAUAUUCUCCUGCUCCUGUAUUUUCGCUGCGGCGCGAAUAUCGAUUGAUGUUUCUGUGUGAGUGUCGAUCGAUGUGAGCGGUUGUUUUGCUGGACGAGGGUGGGUAUCAACCGAUGUGGAGUGCACAGCGUCGAACGUUGUUGGAAAUGUGUUGGUGAACUCAUGUGUUUCAAGUCUUUCAUCCUGCAAAGACAUCUCUAUUGCACGUUCUUUCCAAUAAUCCUUAUCGUAUUCCUCUGUAUGUUCCUCACUAGGUGAAGCAAUUACAGUGUCAACUGCAAAACUUUCAUGAAAACCACUGUCUGCCCAACUGCCUAUGGAAUAAUCAUCAUGUCCUCUCUUGGUUGGAAGGCAAAAUGUUGGUAUAAAUGAUUAGGUGGAGCGAAAUGGUCAACUGGGUGUAUUACGUUGAGUGACGUGUUGUUGCGGUCAUCGGUCACCGUUGACUCAUUGGAAUCGAUCGAUGGAAAGGUUGGGGUGUCGAUCGAUUCCGAGUACUCUGUUUCGUACUCUGAUUCAUACUCUGCUCCACAAUGGCAUGCGCCAAUGAAGCCAAGUUCUUUCCCGUAAUCCACAGAAUUAAUGACCUUUCUCUUAGGUCAAUGGGGUUGUAGUUGAUGUUUGGGUCUAUGAGCGUUAGACACAAUUUGUUUUUGUUCAUGUCACACACAGCUCCUACUGUAGCUAGGAAAGAUCUUCCAAGCAGAAGUGAAGAGUUCCAGUUAAGCUCGAUGUCUAGGACAUGAAAAUCUACAGGGACAAGGGCAUUACCAAUCUGUACCUCCAGAUCUCUUAUGAUUCCUCCUGAUUGUUUCUCUGAAAGAUCCACGAAGGUGAAGGAUUCCAUUGAAGGUUCGAUGGUCAAACCAAGCUGGUCUACCAUGAUCCUAGGGAGGAUACUAACUGAUGCUCCUGUGUCACACAUUGAAUGGGGAAAUUCAACACCCUUGACUACGCAUGGUAUUGCAAACUUCCCAGGAUCACUCUUCUUCGUCAAUGUGAUCCUGUGUUUCAUCUUUUCUCUGACUUGAUGAAACAUUCUCCUAAUGUCCUCCUCAGUUACCUUUGUUUCUCUGAAGAACAUCCACAACCGGUGUGUGAAGUAAGCUUCAUCAAAAGGUUUUUCGAUUGGGAUUCUGAGGAUUCUCUUAGUGAAACCAUCCAUCUCUUUAUCGUUAGCUUUCCUCUUAAGAUUUUUAGGAAUCUUCUCCUUUAUUUUCCUUAACCUUCUCCCUUCAGAUUCUUGUUCUUCUUGAACUGAUUCUGGUGUACUAUUUAAAGGGUUGGGUUUUGGUUCGGGUGGGUUAGCUAAUGGUUUAGGUAGUGGUCUGAGUGCGUUGAUGUAAUCAUUAUCGAUUGAGGGUAACCGCACUCGGUAUGUCAGAGGUGCCUGUCUAUCGAUGGGAGGUGUGUUGUGACGAUCGACGUCGGACUCACUCUGUCGAUCGAUGGUUGGCUCAACCGAUUGAUCGAUUUUAUCAUAGAAAGGGGAGGGUGGGUGAGGAUGCUUAGCUGCGAAUUCUUCAUGAGUUAGAAUUCGAACCGCAUUGCAAUCAGUCGAUUUAGCGGACGACGUCGUUCGAUGACUGGAGUAAUCCGUCCAUCGAUCUUCAUCAUGGUCUGUCGAUCGAUGUGAGUUCAUCGACAUCGGUCGACACCAUUGAGAACCGCCGAGACUCAUGGAGCUUUCGAUUUCGAAGUCUCCUUCCUCGAGCUUUUCAUUUCUCACCACUUGCCAGAAAUCAUCAUCUAUGAUGGCAUUUACGUGGUGUUUCCCUUUGUCGGCUCCUGCCUCUCUGGCGAAAGCUUCUUGCCUCUUUAUAGUCUCGCCCGUCUGAAUUACUUGGGUUUCAAGUUUUCUCACCUGAGUCCCUAAGGUCUCAAUUUUGGUGUUCAGAUUGUUGUAGGCGGAGUCUAUUUUACCGUUGAAAUCCACGGUGAUUUGUUGUUGUCCCAACAAUACUCGAUCAAGCAUCUCUUCGAUCUUGCUUUCCUGAGUCUGGGGUGGUGGAUUUUGGUAGUAAGAGUUCGAGUAGCUUUUGCUGUUGUUGAAGGGUUUUUGAAAUUGUGAACUUUGGUUACUUCUUUGGCCAUUUCCAAAGAAAUUUCUGUGUCCGCCCUGGUAUCCAAAUUUCUAGAAUCUGGUACCUCCGAUGUAAUUCACAUUUUCUUCUCCUUCCGUAUCUGCUACUUCUCCUUCAGCUGAACAGACUUGCUUCCUAAGAAGCUCGUGCACCACAUCUAACUUAGCUCUUACUUCGUCCAUCUGUUCCUUUUCGAUAGAGGCUACAGACUUCUUCCGUUCAGAGUCAGUGUUUUUGGUGCUGCUGCUGUUAGCAAGGUUUUCGAAAAGUCUCACAGCUUCCAACGGAUUCCGAGUAGUGAAGUUUCCUUCACUCGCCGUAUCAAGAGCCAUUUGAUACUGUAAGGCGAGACCUCGGAAGAAAGUGCUUAGCAGCUGCACUUCGUUAAAUCCGUGGUGUGGACAGUCUCGCUGGAAGAACCUAAAUCUAAUCCACGCAUCUUUGAAGGACUCUCCAGCCUUCUGUGAGAAUGUGGAAAUUUUGUUCCGAAGUUCUUCAGCGCGCGAUCGAAGAAGUUUCGUAAGAAAUCAUUCUUGAUGUCGGUCCAGGAUGUUAAAGAUCCUGUGGGUUGCUGCCUAAGCCAGUGCAUCGCUUCUCCAUUCAGCGUGUAUCUAAAGAGCUUGCACAACAGGUAUUCUUCGAGGACUCCUUCCAUCCGAAUAGCAGCAAUUAGAUCCUCGAACCGUUCCAAAUGGUCCAUAGGAUGCUCGUGCGGUAACCCAAAGUAGGGUAUCUGCGACACGAGAGUGUAGUAUUGAGGCUUCAGCUCGAAAUUCUGUUUCUGGAUCUCCGGAAGUCGAAUAGCUGAUCUGUUGGAAUAGUACUCAUCUGGGCGAUUGUAGUCGGCCAGUGGUUUCGAUCGAGCGUCCCCAUCUACAGGUUGAGCAGCUCCUGUAGCAUCAACAUCAGAGAUUACAGUCCCCUGAGCAUCUAUUUUCUGACCUGUUGCAUUACGCAGAUGACCGGCCUGGUGAUACAGGUUUCCGUUCUCGUCAUGAGUUAGAAUAAUAAUGUUUACCAUUUUUGACGACACGGUAUCGAUUGACGUACGCGGUGUAGUAUUAAUCGUUGUCGAACUAUUGGGAUCAAUCGACGAUGAUGGUCUGGUGUCGGUCGAUGGUUGGUUGUGCGUAUCGAUCGAUGACGAAUUUGUUGCGUCGAGCGAUGUGGAACGUUGACCUCUACGGAUGGUGCGUUCCAAAUGAGCAGGAUCGUCUGAGAACAGCAAGUUUUUCUCCUUGUUGCUUCUGGUAUCGCUGGGCAUGCACCUGAAAAGACAAGAAAAAGAUUAUUAGAAAAGGGGUAGAGAAAAGAAUAAGAAUCAAUAAAACUAAAUCUAAUGGCGAUCAAAGCUUCCCGGCAACAGCGCCAAAUUUGAUACCACUCAAAUUACCCUAAGGAGUGUUACUCUCAUCAAAAGAGGUUCAAAUGUAGUACUUAGGGAUCGAAUCCACAAGGAGCUAGGGAACAAUUAAAUCUAGUGUUUAUUAAUUCUAAAGGUUGCAAAUGUUUAAAUGAAAUAGCAAUAGUAACAAGCGAGUAAAUAAUAAAUGUAACUUGGUUGGAAAUGAUAUUAGAUGCAGGGCCACUAUUCAGGUGUUGGAGAUUAUAAUACCUAUAGAUGCCUAACUGUUGCAUGCAUGAUAUAUAAGAGCUCAUUCGCUUAACUCAGUGAUCAGCUGUCGCAUGUACCACUGGUUAACAGACUAGAUCUCGUGUCUCAACGGUUAGUAUGUCGACGACGAGAGAGUGUCGAUCGAUGGUCUAUUUAGACGUCGACCGAUACACCUUUGCCAACGUCGAUCGAUUGUCAGUUGAGGACAUCAAUCGACGGGUUCUAGCCAGGCCUAUGCGCGAGUAUGAAAUGCCCUACUAAGAUACUAAAUUGGCGGUUAGCCCUCUCUAGCAGUCCUAGUAUGAUAGAUAGAUGUUAGGAUGGGAUAACAAGGGUGCUUUAGUAUGCAAUCCUAUGAUCAAAUUCUAGUUAGCAAGGCUAAAACAAGCAAUGAAUACAAAUCUAUCAUGAAUAUCACAACAUAGUAGAUCUAUAGUUUGGGGCUAAUCCCACAAACCUAUCUGAACCCUGGAUCUAAUAAUUGAACUACUCAGACAUCGCAAAUCAAUUCAUAACAAUAAAGGAAUAGAAACUCAUAGCAUAGAUGAAAAGAAAUGAAAACAAGGAGUUCCAAUCACAAGUGAUCUUCUCUCCCAAAUGAAACUUGUAACAAAACUAGGUCUAGAAAAAGCUCUAUGCCGUCAAAACACUUAGGCAGUAUAUAUUCUACUAGGUUAAAAACUCGUCAGGGCAUUUUGGUAAUUUGGCUUGGCCUUGGUUUUUAAAUCUGCUGAAUCCAAAAUGUCGUGUGUCUGGUGUCUCGACAUCGAUCGAUGGUACUUGCGUACAUCGAUCGAUAUUAAUCUUCAUCUAUCUAGGCAUCUCCUGAUAUCGAUCGUCAGCCCUUAUGCGCAUCGAUCGAUUGUGCUUCCUCUCGUCGACCUCUACGUGGUCAGCUCGGGUGAAAUGUCCUUUAAGCUCCAAAAUGCUCCAAAGUCAUAGCUUUACUCCGAAAUGCACAUGAACCUGAAAACAUACCUAGAAGAGUAGAAAACAUAGAUAUAUAUAUAAUAAAAUACUUAUAUACCAUGGAUAAAAGUGGGUCAAAUCCAAGGUAUAUCAGUUAUGCAUCGAUUAUAGAGGGAUUAACAAUGUUACAGUAAAGGACAAGUAUCCCUUGCCAAGGAUCGAUGAAUUGUUGGAUCAGCUUCAGGGGGCAAGCUGGUUCUCAAAGAUAGAUUUGGCAUCGGGAUAUCAUCAAAUCCCAAUAUUAGAGUCCGAUAUCAUGAAGAUGGCUUUUAGGACCCGGUAUGGCCACUAUGAAUUUGUGGUAAUGCCUUUUGGUCUUACUAAUGCGCCGGCUGCUUUCAUGCGCUUGAUGAAUGAUAUAUUUCGUGAUUACUUGGAUAAAUUUGUAAUCAUCUUUAUUGAUGAUAUACUUAUUUAUUCCAAGAGUAAAGGGGAACAUACAGAGCACCUCCAAAAGGUGUUGGAGCGAUUAAGAAGCCAUAAGUUGUUCACCAAGUUUAGUAAAUGUAGUUUCUGGAAAAGGGAGAUUGGUUCCUUGGUCAUCGAGUGUCAGAGAAGGGAGUUGCAGUAGAUCCUGAAAAGGUUAAAGUAGUUAAGGACUGGCCACGCCCUACCAGCGCUACCGAGGUUCGAAGCUUUCUAGGAUUGGCUGGGUAUUAUCGAAAGUUUGUGAGGAACUUUUCCAUCAUGGCCAAACCCUUGACGAGGCUGACUGGGAAAGAUAUAUCAUUUGAAUGGGAUAAGAAAGAGGAAAAGGCUUUUACACAAUUAAUGGAAGCUUUGACGACAGCACCUAUUCUUGCAUUACCUACUCAAGGAAGACCUUACACAGUAUACACUGAUGCUUCUCGAGUAGGACUGGGUUGUGUACUGAUGCAGGAUGAGAGAUGGCCGCAGUGGUAUUUUCUUUAAAAAUAUGGAGAUCCUAUCUUUAUGGCGAGACGAUUCAAAUCUUUACUGAUCACAAGAGUCUCAAGUAUCUCUUUACUCAGUCAGAUUUGAAUUUGAGACAAAGGAGGUGGAUGGAGUUUAUCACGGAUUAUGACUUACAAAUCCAAUAUCACCCAGGAAAGGCGAAUGUGGUAGCAGAUGCACUGAGUCGGAGGAGAAGUGAUACAGCUAUUGAGAAGGACUUAGAAGCCUUAAACGCAGAAUUUAAGAUGAUUAGUCUUUCAGCCAUAGAAGGCGAGGGCAGCGAGCCAUUGGGAUUGCGAGCAGUGAAUCAAGCAAACCUCCUGCAAAGAAUUCGAGAAGAGCAGAAGGAAGAUGUGAAGCUAAAGAAGAUUAUAAAAGAACUUGAAGAACCAGGCGGAAGAAAUGAUAGUGGUUAUCAUUUAGCUGAUGACAGAACCCUCCUACUGAACGGAAGGAUAACCGUACCUGUAAGAAAGGAGUUACGAGAAGAGAUCUUGAGAAUCGCACACCACUCAAUAUUAAGUAUUCAUCCUGGAAGCACCAAGAUGUACCAGGAUAUACGUCGAUACUAUCACUGGCCAGGAAUCAAAAAAUCAGUUGCUAAGUGGGUAGCUCAGUGCCAGACCUGCCAACAAAUUAAGGCUGACCAUCAAGUGCGGGAGGAUUAUUGCAAAGCCUACCAAUCCCAGAAUGGAAGUGGGAGUCAGUGGCUAUGGAUUUUGUAACGGGACUACCUCGAGCACCAGGAAGAGGGAAUGAUACUAUAUGGGUGGUGGUAGACUGACUAACUAAGACUGCUCAUUUUCUACCCAUUAGAAUUGCUGACAAGGUAGAAGUACUGGCAGAAGUUUACUUAAAGGAGAUAGUACGAUUACACGGAGUUUCUGCCAACAUAGUAUCUGAUCGUGAUCCAAGAUUUACGGCUCAAUUCUGGAGAGCUUUCAAGCAAGUAUUGGGGACUAAUCUUCAUAUGAGUACGGCGUUUCACCCUGAAACUGACGGGCAGACGGAGCGUACAAUCAGAACCUUGGAAGAUUUGCUAAGGAUGUGUGUUUUAGACUGGUCAGGUACAUGGGAACAAUACUUACCUUUGGUAGAGUUCUCUUAUAACAACAGUUACCAUGCAAGUAUUGGAAUGUCCCCAUAUGAGGCAUUAUAUGGACGACCUUGCCGCACACCACUGUGUUGGGCUGAAGUUGGAGAAAGACAUAUGUUAGGACCAGAUGUAGUAGAUGAAACAACAGAAAAGAUAAAGAUUGUCCGAGAGAAUAUGAAGAAAGCUCAAGACAUGCAGAAGAAGUAUGCCGAUCAGAAUAGACGUGAAGUAAUAUUUCAAGUUGGUGAUUGGGUAUAUUUGAAGGUGGCCGCACAGAAAGGGAGAGAUAGAUUCGGAAAAGUGGGAAAGUUAGCCACUCAAUAUAUAGGACCAUACUGAGUGAUGCAACGGGUUGGAGAAGUAGCCUAUCAAUUAGAGUUACCAUCAGAUAUGGCACUUCACCCAGUUUUCCAUGUCUCAAUGUUAAGAAGGCAUAUACGAGAUCCUACCGAAGUAGAGCCGCAACGAAUUGAAAACCUUCGCUCCAACCUCACUUACCCUGAAGGACCACUUCGAAUCGGAGAAAGACGAAUAAGAAAACUGAAGAAUCGAGAGAUUCCUCAAGUGCAAGUAUUUUGGGGAAAACAGCGUCGAGUAAUUGUGACAUGGGAAGAUGAAGAGAGGUUUAGAGCAACUCAUCCUGAACUGUUUUUGGAAGAUGAUGAAGAUCAGAUGGGUGGAGCAUCAAACCACUAAGAAUUCGGGACGAAUUCUAUUAAGAGGGGGAGAAUGUAAUUACCCUCUUUAAAGAGUAAAACGCAGACAGGGAAAAAUCUUGUAACAUCCGAAAAAAUUACUCAAGUAAGUGGAAGUCGGAUUGAUCUUUUCCCGUGGAUGUUGUGGAUCCCAAGGUACAUAAGAAAAAUUUAGAAAGUCUUCGAAUAGUUUUCCAUCUGAAGAAAUACAUUCUUCAGGAAGUUUAGUGGAUUGAAAAUGCUCGCGGUUCGGCCUAGAACGUCCUAGUCGGACGAGAAAAUUAAUCGAAAAUUUAUUAUAAGGCCUUAAGAUAGGAAUGACCUUAGAGUUAUUUUAGAAAUGUUUAGGUCUAAGAAAUCUAGGUUUUUGUCAAGGAAAAACAUUUCCGCCAGCUCGGAUAAGCUUAUAACACGUUCGGGAUUUAAAUACGGCCAAUUCGGGCCCAUCUACGAUGUGUUAAGCAUAUCCGGAAGCUUCUGGAGGAUGCAGCUGCUUGUCUACCUCCUUAAGCAGCUAGAUAUGUGUUAUUCCUUUACUGGAGAAUCCUCCAAGCAGCUCUUGCUUAUGUCCUACUGGUUGAAUUGGUGGCUGGCCACAAAACUUGUUUUAAUUGGACAGAUUUGUGGCUGCACACCAAUCUCUCUCCAAUUGGUUGCAAGGGGUACCCAGGACAGCUCCUGCUUGUAACCCACGACUUAAACCUUCUCCUGAGCUCAUUCUCCAGCCUAUAAAUAGCAGACCACCCCCUUAGUCAUUUCUCAUGCUUAGAACCCUAACCAUAGCAGCUCGAAAAAGUCGAAACCCUAAGGUAAAAUGUUUUUGUCUUUAGCUUUCUUUUUAUUUAGAUUUUGUUUUUUCUUUUUUUUUUUUUUAUUUAGAACUUGGAUAGCCUUUCUUAACCUACCCCUUCCUGUAUUUAUAUUUCUAAAGCUCUAGAGUUUUCCGAUAAAAGUUUAAAGUGAAGCCGACCGCGAGAUAGAAGCGUUUCCAGUCCAAAACUUUCAUCUAAGUGUUGAGGUGAGUCUCGGUUAUGGGUUAUGAUUGUUGUGUGUGCGACUAGCGCCUGCAAAACAAGAGUAACGGCUGAUGCAUUGCUAGGUUGCGCGUUUAGAUAUAUAAUGAUAUGAUAAUGAUUGAUGUUUGUGAAAGAUAUUGAGUUAUAUCGUCGGGCUUCGGCUCGAGGGGUAUAACAUGAUUGUGAUACAUUGAUGUUGUGUUGCAUAUUCUUAUGUCAUUGCAUUAUAUUGUUUGGGCCUCCGCUCAGAUAAUAUAACAUGUUUGAUCAUAUCUUAACGGGGAAACCCGUAAAUCCACGGACUUGAUCCGUGAGAGUCCGACACUCGGGUGGAGUGUCGUAAGAGUCAUUGGUGUCCACUCGAGGCCCGUGCCUUGUCUGGGGCCUUACCAAAAUUAGUUCCGGGCAGGACGCGAAGACACGUGUGAUAGGGCUAGCUACCCUCGAUCGUGUAGCUGCAUGACGAUGCGGCAAGUGUGUUAUCCGGGCCAUCAGUUUUUUAGACUUUGUGUUUAGAGUCAAUGGGCGCAAGAAGGGAUGUGUUAUGGACUUCGUAUCAAGAUAGGAACCAAUGGCGAGAGGCAGUCCUCGAUGAUCAAUAAUGAUCUAACCACUCGUGAAGAGUGGAUGCUUUUUUACAUGAUUGCUUUAUUUUUGCAUUGCAUAUUUCUUAAUAUAAUUGAUCCUUGUUACUUAAUGUAUGAUGCAUAAUGGGGGGAUAAAUAAUUGUUAGGAAACCCCACUCACUGAGCAAAAUAGUUGCUCAUUAGACUCUUUGUUUUGCAGGUAACCCGUAGUAGUAGGUUCCAUUUGGGAUCGGAGGAGCACAAAGCUGUUGGUGUAGAUUUGCUACAUUUUGCAAGCAUGUACGUUUUGUAAUAUGUAAGAUAUGGUUUUGAACAUCGGCCGAGCAUGUAUAAAUUUUUGAUGUGGU